AAAUAAGUUAACGACGAACAUUAAAAUAAUUAUUUAUUUUAGUAACAAAAAGGUGUUUUGCUUAGGUCUCGGAAGAGGGUCGAUUGUUAGCGAGAGUCGGGUGUCCGCGUGGUUCGCAUGCUGUGAAGAGACUG